GGUCCCGCGGAGUCCUGCGCAGUGCUGAGGGUCGGGAAAAGAACCCAAGAGUCUGUUUGUCUUUCUCUACUCAUUUAUUGCUCUUCUCUUCCUGGAGCUCCAAGUUUUAGCAUUUGCUACACUGGCAGAAGCAAACAUUCAAUGGCUGCUUACAGUUUCGGAGGCCUGCUUAGGCCCAGGGGACCAAGACUUGUGUGCAAUUGUACUCCGGUUGCCUUGCCCACGUUACUUGCACACCUGCUUAAUGGAAGUGCAUGGUACGGAGAAGUCAGAGCCUCUCAUUCUCUCACCGACAGAGUCAAUGAGGAACUCCACCCUGAGAAGUGCAUGACGUGGGAGCUGCUGUCCUGUGUGUUAGCCUGCAAUGAUAAGGUACCAAAAAGACCAACCAGAUUGAACCAGAAAGUAAUGAAUAUUCCUCAG
rnacentral:lncRNA from 1 species